rnacentral:rRNA from 1 species
UAGACCCGGACCGAAACGAGUAUCAAUAAUUGAAGUAUCAGUUCGGGUAUGAGAUGCUGGCAUCGUCACUGAGCAUGUGCUCGUUCCCUAUCUAUUAUAUCUCCUCUUGUGCACCUGUAAGUAGUCUUUGAAGAAGUAAACCUCUUCGCAGCAAUGCGGUUUGGGGGCAUGGUACAAUCUGCCUCUGCUUGCUUUCUUCAAGGCUAUGUUUUCAUAUACACUAUAAAGUUACAGAAUGUCUUUUAACGAUUGUGCUAGUCGCAGUCAUUAAACCUAUACAACUUUCAGCAACGGAUCUCUUGGCUCUCCCAUCGAUGAAGAACGCAGCGAAAUGCGAUAAGUAAUGUGAAUUGCAGAAUUCAGUGAAUCAUCGAAUCUUUGAACGCACCUUGCGCCCUUUGGUAUUCCGAAGGGCAUGCCUGUUUGAGUGUCAUUAAAUUAUCAACCUUGCUUGCUUUUACUGGCUUGCUCGGCUUGGAUGUGAGGGCUUUGCUGGCUUCCUUCAGUGGAUGGUCUGCUCCCUUUAAAUGCAUUAGUGGGAUCUCUUGUGGACCGUCACUUGGUGUGAUAAUGAUCUAUGCCAGUUGACUUUGAAGCAAAAUCAUGGGAACCUGCUUAUAACCGUCCGCAACGACAACUCUUGACAUGUUGACCUCAAAUCACGUA